rnacentral:misc_RNA from 1 species
CAGUCAGGUGAAGAAUUUCCAGCAGUAAAUAGGCCUAUUCAAUCUUGUGUUCCUUCCGGACGAUUUCUUAAGAGGGGAUCACCCAUAUGCCCUCCCAACGCUCCCCAGCCUUGGUGCAAAAGGUCCAGAUCAAUUAGACCUGCCAGUCAUCUGUCUGCUCCAACAUUGCUCCAAACUAGUCCAACACAUGCUCCUCUAACUUCGGUUGAUUCCUUAAGCCCCCUCGUACCCCGGAGUUUUCCCAGUCGCCCACCUACAGCCUACACUUCUCGUCUUUCAUCCUUGCCCAGAACUUCUUCACCUCAC